GCCAAUGUGGUGUAGUGUUUUGAGCACUGGUCUAUUACUCUGGGGGCCAGGGUUCAAAUCCCUUCUCGGUCA